UAAAAUCCAUUCUCAUCUCCUCUUCCGGGCACCCCCACUUUUGGUUGGUCCAUAAAAUCUCCCCAUCUCCAGUACCAUUUGGCAAGACAGAAAGACAGAUGGAUCCUCCACAAGUUCAGUCCAUAGACACCUCCACUGUUAAAAACCUCCCUCCACCCCAAGAUGAACAAGACAAAGCCAUCGACGACUGCUGUUCUUGCUUCUACGAUUGCAUGGGUAGCUGUUUGGAGUCUCUCUUCUGCUCUGACUGCUGUGAUUGACAACACCCAAUCGUUUUUGGAGAUGAUUUAUUGUUCUUUUGGUUGUGUCUUCUCUGUUCAGUCUUCUUUUUAAUAUACUUUUUUGUUUUCUUCCAUUUUCGCUGUAAGCUUGUUCUGAAGCUUGCAGGCAUGGGAUGAUGUAUACUUCUCUGUUUAACAAACUGGACCUUAUGAAGAAAGAAGGUGAUUAGUUAGUGGUA